UACGUAGGGUGCAAGCGUUGUCCGGAAUUAUUGGGCGUAAAGAGCUCGUGGGCGGUCUGUUGCGUCGGCUGUGAAAACCCGGGGCUCAACUCCGGGCCUGCAGCCGAUACGGGCAGACUAGAGUUCGGCAGGGGAGACUGGAAUUCCUGGUGUAGCGGUGAAAUGCGCAGAUAUCAGGAGGAACACCGGUGGCGAAGGCGGGUCUCUGGGCCGAUACUGACGCUGAGGAGCGAAAGCGUGGGGAGCGAACAGG
rnacentral:rRNA from 1 species